rnacentral:rRNA from 1 species
GAUGAACGCUGGCGGCGUGCCUAAUACAUGCAAGUCGAGCGAACGGACGGGAAGCUAGCUUCUCUGAUGUUAGCGGCGGACGGGUGAGUAACACGUGGAUAACCUACCUAUAAGACUGGGAUAACUUCGGGAAACCGGAGCUAAUACCGGAUAAUAUUUUGAACCGCAUGGUUCAAAAGUGAAAGACGGUCUUGCUGUCACUUAUAGAUGGAUCCGCGCUGCAUUAGCUAGUUGGUAAGGUAACGGCUUACCAAGGCAACGAUGCAUAGCCGACCUGAGAGGGUGAUCGGCCACACUGGAACUGAGACACGGUCCAGACUCCUACGGGAGGCAGCAGUAGGGAAUCUUCCGCAAUGGGCGAAAGCCUGACGGAGCAACGCCGCGUGAGUGAUGAAGGUCUUCGGAUCGUAAAACUCUGUUAUUAGGGAAGAACAUAUGUGUAAGUAACUGUGCACAUCUUGACGGUACCUAAUCAGAAAGCCACGGCUAACUACGUG